GGUAUUAUACCUUAGUGGUAGGGCACAUGCUUAGCAUGCACGAGGUCUUGGGUUCAAUCCCCAGUAUCUCCA
rnacentral:tRNA from 1 species